rnacentral:rRNA from 1 species
AUUCCAGCUCCAAUAGCGUAUAUUAAAGUUGUUGCAGUUAAAAAGCUCGUAGUUGAACUUUGGGCCCGGUUGGCCGGUCCGAUUUUUUCGUGUACUGGAUUUCCAACGGGGCCUUUCCUUCUGGCUAACCUUGAGUCCUUGUGGCUCUUGGCGAACCGGGACUUUUACUUUGAAAAAAUUAGAGUGUUCAAAGCAGGCGUAUUGCUCGAAUAUAUUAGCAUGGAAUAAUAGAAUAGGACGUUUGGUUCUAUUUUGUUGGUUUCUAGGACCAUCGUAAUGAUUAAUAGGGACGGUCGGGGGCAUCAGUAUUCAAUUGUCAGAGGUGAAAUUCUUGGAUUUAUUGAAGACUAACUACUGCGAAAGCAUUUGCCAAGGACGUUUUCAUCA